rnacentral:rRNA from 2 species
CAGUCGAGCGAACUGAUUAGAAGCUUGCUUCUAUGACGUUAGCGGCGGACGGGUGAGUAACACGUGGGCAACCUGCCUGUAAGACUGGGAUAACUUCGGGAAACCGAAGCUAAUACCGGAUAGGAUCUUCUCCUUCAUGGGAGAUGAUUGAAAGAUGGUUUCGGCUAUCACUUACAGAUGGGCCCGCGGUGCAUUAGCUAGUUGGUGAGGUAACGGCUCACCAAGGCAACGAUGCAUAGCCGACCUGAGAGGGUGAUCGGCCACACUGGGACUGAGACACGGCCCAGACUCCUACGGGAGGCAGCAGUAGGGAAUCUUCCGCAAUGGACGAAAGUCUGACGGAGCAACGCCGCGUGAGUGAUGAAGGCUUUCGGGUCGUAAAACUCUGUUGUUAGGGAAGAACAAGUACGAGAGUAACUGCUCGUACCUUGACGGUACCUAACCAGAAAGCCACGGCUAACUACGUGCCAGCAGCCGCGGUAAUACGUAGGUGGCAAGCGUUAUCCGGAAUUAUUGGGCGUAAAGCGCGCGCAGGCGGUUUCUUAAGUCUGAUGUGAAAGCCCACGGCUCAACCGUGGAGGGUCAUUGGAAACUGGGGAACUUGAGUGCAGAAGAGAAAAGCGGAAUUCCACGUGUAGCGGUGAAAUGCGUAGAGAUGUGGAGGAACACCAGUGGCGAAGGCGGCUUUUUGGUCUGUAACUGACGCUGAGGCGCG